UGCUCAGAGUUGCGUCGGUUACUUAGAGUAUACGUAACUGAGGCCACUCUGGGUAGA
rnacentral:pre_miRNA from 1 species